UACGUAGGGGGCAAGCGUUGUCCGGAAUCAUUGGGCGUAAAGCGCGUGUAGGCGGUUCGAUAAGUCUGCUGUGAAAGUCCAGGGCUCAACCCUGGAAAGCCGGUGGAUACUGUCGGACUAGAGUGCGGAAGAGGCGAGUGGAAUUCCCGGUGUAGCGGUGAAAUGGGUAGAUAUCAGGAGGAACACCCGUGGCGAAGGCGGCUCACUGGGCAUCUCCUGACGCUGAGGCGCGAAAGCGUGGGGAGCAAACAGG
rnacentral:rRNA from 1 species